CCCAGGAGCUGUGUAUGUCUGUGUGUCUGUCUACCUGGCAAGGAGAUAUGGCCCCCAUCAGACUGGAGCUCCACAGAGCAGGUCAAGCGAUUCUCCCGCCUCGGCCUCCCAAGGAACUGGAACCACAGGCAUGUGCCACUGUGCCCAAGGAUUUCCACUUUUAACUGUACAGUGAAGCACAGACUUCUGAGCCAGACUGCUUGGUCUGAACUCUGGUGUCACCACUUAGUAAGUUCUGGUUUGAAUGUACUCACUGAGUGGUCUUCAUAGAUUACCUCUCUGC
rnacentral:antisense_RNA from 1 species